GCUAUAGGGGCUAGUAUUUCGAGGGCUAAUCUGCACCUUUUCCCUCUUUUUUUUUCGUUUGUUUAUUCUUUUUUCUGCAUUUUAUUCAUUGCUGCGUUUUUUUUUUUUUGGCAUUUUUUCUGUUUUAUUGCGUUUUUCUCGUCUUUUUCUAUUUUUUUCCUUAAGCAUUUUAUUUAUUUAUGUGGUAAUAUUUUUGAAUCAUUACAUUUUUUCAUAUCAAUCGAUACUUUUUUCUUACGAUAAUAAUUACUUUAGCAAAGCGUUUUCUUUAUUUUUUUCUAUUUUUUGUUUUAUUUUUUCUUUUCAACAUUUUUUCAGUUUUUCUUUUCUUUUUUCCCCAAUUAUUUCAGCUUUUUUGAAAACAUCACCUUUAUUUAUACCAAUGGUUUUUUUUUUACGAUAAUAAUUAUUUGAUCUAAUAACUAAAAGUACAAGUUUUCGUGAGUAAAAAUAACAAUUUUCGUGUAAAAAGUAAUAAUUUUAAAAUAUUACAUUUCUU
rnacentral:lncRNA from 1 species